rnacentral:rRNA from 1 species
GAUGAACGCUAGCGACAGGCCUAACACAUGCAAGUCGAGGGGCAGCACGAAGUAAGCUUGCUUACUUUGGUGGCGACCGGCGCACGGGUGCGUAACAGGUGUGCAAUCUGUCCAUAAUCGGGGAACAGCCCAGCGAAAGUUGGAUUAAUGCUCCAUGUGAGUAAGAGAGGCAUCUCUUUUGUUUGAAACGUAAGGAUUAUGGGUGAGCACGCUUCUGAUUAGGUAGUUGGUGAGGUAACGGCUCACCAAGCCGACGAUCAGUGGCCGGACUGAGAGGUUGAACGGCCACAUUGGGACUGAGACACGGCCCAG